GGAGAAAAGCAGGGGAUCGUAAGACCUUGCGUUGAUGGAGCGGCCGAUAUCUGAUUAGCUAGUUGGUGAGGUAAAGGCUCACCAAGGCGACGAUCAGUAGCUGGUUUGAGAGAACGACCAGCCACACUGGAACUGAGACACGGUCCAGACUCCUACGGGAGGCAGCAGUGGGGAAUUUUGGACAAUGGGGGCAACCCUGAUCCAGCCAUUCCGCGUGAGUGAAGAAGGCCUUCGGGUUGUAAAGCUCUUUCGCAAGGGAAGAAAACUUAUGAUCGAAUAAAUCAUGAGGUUGACGGUACCUUGAUAAGAAGCACCGGCUAACUACGUGCCAGCAGCCGCGGUAAUACGUAGGGUGCGAGCGUUAAUCGGAAUUACUGGGCGUAAAGCGUGCGCAGGCGGUUUUGUAAGUCGGAUGUGAAAUCCCCGGGCUCAACCUGGGAACUGCG
rnacentral:rRNA from 1 species